ACAAUGAAGAGUUUGAUCCUGGCUCAGGAUGAACGCUAGCGGCAGGCUUAACACAUGCAAGUCGAGGG
rfam:Bacteroidetes bacterium GWE2_40_15 gwe2_scaffold_63, whole genome shotgun sequence.